GGCCUACCUUUGCAGUCGAGCGGUAACAGGUCCGGCUUGCUGGAUGCUGACGAGCGGCGGACGGGUGAGUAAUGCAUAGGAAUCUGCCCGAUAGUGGGGGAUAACCUGGGGAAACCCAGGCUAAUACCGCAGACGUCCUACGGGAGAAAGGGGGCUCCGGCUCCCGCUAUGGGAUGAGCCUAUGUCGGAUUAACUAUUUGGGGAGGCAACGGCUCUUCUCGGCCACGAUCCGUAUCUGGUCUGAUAGGAUGAUCAGCCACAUCGGGACUGACACACGGCCCGAACUCCUACGGCAGGUUACAGUGGGGAAUAUUGGACAAUGGGGGAAACCCUGAUCCAGCCAUGCCGCGUGUGUGAAGAAGGCCCUCGGGUUGUAAAGCACUUUCAGCGAGGGAGAACGCCUAGCGGUUAAUACCCGCUAGGAAAGACAUCACUCGCAAAAGAAGCACGGGCUAACUCCGUGGCAGCAGCCGAGGUAAUA
rnacentral:rRNA from 1 species